rnacentral:rRNA from 1 species
UACGUAGGUGGCAAGCGUUGUCCGGAUUUACUGGGUGUAAAGGGCGUGUAGCCGGGCUGACAAGUCAGAUGUGAAAUCCGGGGGCUCAACCCCCGAACUGCAUUUGAAACUGUUGGUCUUGAGUAUCGGAGAGGCAGGCGGAAUUCCUAGUGUAGCGGUGAAAUGCAUAGAUAUUAGGAGGAACACCAGUGGCGAAGGCGGCCUGCUGGACGACAAUUGACGGUGAGGCGCGAAAGCGUGGGGAGCAAACAGG